rnacentral:lncRNA from 1 species
CGCUUUUACACUCUCUUCCGGGUCCUGGUGAGCGCCGUUGUGCCUAGUUGACCCCAAGCACCGGUCCCUUAGUGGCUGAAUGUGGCUGAGCCGGGCUAAUGCCCGGAGGAGCUCCCUGGUCUGGAAACCCAGACCCGGCCUGCAAGAGAGUCUCACUCAAAUGAUAAGCGAGUGAGAGACAAGACUGAGAAGGGCAGGUGCCCGUGCGAGGCCCGGAUGUUCCCGGGAGGUCCCGCGUGCGGGAAAGAGGGUACCGAGAGGGGCGCGAAAUCUGGACCAGUGUCAAGGAGAACAAGAUGCCCUAGAAGAAGUGGGUCCCACAAAUCAUGCAGCCAGCCCCACCUGGAACCAACCUGCCAACUGUGUGGAUUCCUGCAGCAUCUCCGAUGAAGCAGAGAAAGCAGAUCCCAGCUGAUGCAGCCUGGUGGACUUCGAGAGCAGCUGUCAGCCGCCAGCAGAGAUGUGACUCCUUCACCUGCUGGCACCAGAGGCUUAAACGUCACUCGAGGCACCGGAAGGCGGCAGCCCCCUCCUCCCUCCCUACUUAACAUCUCUAAAAUAUCUCCGAGGUCCAACUGCGCAGGGCGGCAACGCGCACCUGACCCCCACCCCGCCCCACCCG